rnacentral:rRNA from 1 species
GGCAAGCGGAUCUCUUAAAGCUGUUCUCAGUUCGGACUGCAGUCUGCAACUCGACUGCACGAAGCUGGAAUCGCUAGUAAUCGCGGAUCAGCACGCCGCGGUGAAUACGUUCCCGGGCCUUGUACGCACCGCCCGUCACACCAUGGAAGUCUGCAAUGCCCGAAGCCGGUGGCCUAACCACUUAUGUGGAAGGAGCCGUCUAAGGCAGGGCAGAUGACUGGGGUGAAGUCGUAACAAGGUAAC